rnacentral:rRNA from 1 species
AACGAACGCUGGCGGCAUGCCUAAUACAUGCAAGUCGAACGAGAUCUUCGGAUCUAGUGGCGCACGGGUGCGUAACGCGUGGGAAUCUGCCCUUGGGUUCGGAAUAACUUCUGGAAACGGAAGCUAAUACCGGAUGAUGACGUAAGUCCAAAGAUUUAUCGCCCAAGGAUGAGCCCGCGUAGGAUUAGGUAGUUGGUGAGGUAAAGGCUCACCAAGCCGACGAUCCUUAGCUGGUCUGAGAGGAUGAUCAGCCACACUGGGACUGAGACACGGCCCAGACUCCUACGGGAGGCAGCAGUAGGGAAUAUUGGACGAUGGGCGAAAGCCUGAUCCAGCAAUGCCGCGUGAGUGAUGAAGGCCUUAGGGUUGUAAAGCUCUUUUACCCGGGAUGAUAAUGACAGUACCGGGAGAAUAAGCUCCGGCUAACUCCGUG